rnacentral:sRNA from 1 species
UUGACAGCCCUGGAGAUCAAUAUCCUUAUUCAUCAAGAGGAUUUAUGCAGCAGCAGUUUAAACUUCCUUGAACAUACAAACCACUAAUAUGGCUCUCUCUUGAUGUAGAGAAGCUGCCUCUAGGGAUGAAAGGAUAGUUCAAGUCUCCAUGACCCGUUCAUCUUUGACCCCU